CAGGCACUCACUAUCUGUAAUAGCAUAAUACUGCCAUGGCUGAUAGUCUACACCAUCCAGAGAACGCUCUAAUAUCCAAUUCCCAGGUCGAGGUGAAUUAGCUGCUUUCACAAUAACAUAUGCAAUCUGGAAAAUCUGUUGGAGAUCCAGUGUAAUAGUCACGUAAUGAUAUUCGAUUCCAUUCUGGAUACUAGGGCUUUGCCACCAAGUGUUCUUGCCAUCAAUUGCAUUUGUUAUUGGAUGUCGUUGAUGUAGAACCCUACUCCUUUGAUCACAAAUACGGCACUGAGGGUUCCUUGCAGGCUGUCCAGGAACAUGUUCAACAAGUUUGCAGUACAUUUCCCGACCCUUUUCUCCACAAGUAGCAUUGGUUGUGAUGAGAGCAUUAGUAGCCAAGUUCAGCACUGCGGGAAACAAUCCUCUUUGCGACGGUGGCGGCUGUGGCUGCUGACCCCGGCUGCAGAGCGCAGCAAGGAGCAGGAGGAACGGCAAACUUGCCCGUGCCAUCGCUCCCGGGCGGCCGAGCCGCCGGCCCAUCCCGCCAGACGAGUGAGCUGUCGGAGAGAGGCGAGAGGACCCC
rnacentral:lncRNA from 1 species